rnacentral:rRNA from 1 species
UACGUAGGGUGCGAGCGUUGUCCGGAAUUAUUGGGCGUAAAGAGCUUGUAGGCGGUCUGUCGCGUCUGCUGUGAAAGUCCAGGGCUCAACCCUGGGAUGCCGGUGGAUACUGUCGGGCUAGAGUACGGAAGAGGCGAGUGGAAUUCCCGGUGUAGCGGUGAAAUGCGCAGAUAUCGGGAGGAACACCAAUUGCGAAGGCAGCUCGCUGGGACGUUACUGACGCUGAGACGCGAAAGCGUGGGGAGCAAACAGG